GCACUUGGGGAUAUGGUUUAGUACUAGGCUUGGCAGUGUUAGGUUCAUGGUUGGAGUUGAUGAUCUUAGAUGUCUUUUCCAGCCUGAAUGAUUCUCUA